rnacentral:tRNA from 1 species
AGACUUGUAAAACAUUAUAUACAUCUUUUGAAUGCAACUCAAACACUUUAAUUAAGCUAAAGCCUCC